CAGAAGCAAACUGUUGUGGGGUGGUGAGCGGAUGGAGGCUGCUGGGAAAGGCAGGGAGCAGAAUCCGAGAGUCAAUCAGCAGGGCCAGGAAGAAGAUAUCUAACCUUUCACCUCCAAAACGAACAUUGAAAGUACAGAAACACAAGAUUGGCUGUUUUCUAAGAGGGAGAAUGAAAAGCUGGGAGUCCUCUUGGUGGCCAGACAGGAAACUUGUCUCCCAGGAAGAGACUUCACUCUGUUAGACUGCCUGGCAGGACGCACUGGAGCCCCAAUAACAACAGCGGACUCUGAAGAUGGAGUUAGUAGGAUGUGUUUGUUCCUCUUGAAAUGGAACCACCUUGCACAAAUCUUCCGGUUGACCCGUUGCAGGUAGAUGGCUUAUCCUGGUUCAUUCAGGCUGCCAGGGCCCUUCCAGAUGCUGGUCCUCAACACAUCAGUAACAAUAGGACAGAGAGGUACAGAAUAUGGCACCCAUUGAGUGGAGUCUGGGAAAGAACUGGAAGUCACCUGUGGGUGACCUGUCUUUUCUUUCAGGUCACCAGGAAACUGGCUUCUCACUAUGGACUGGAGACCUGUAGCAAGGACUUCCAAACAAGCCAUCAGAUGGCCCCACAGAACAUGAGGCCUCAGUGUUUGACUUUUUUUUCCUGCCAUCUGGAAUGUCAAGGUCCCUAUUCCAAGUACAUUUUUUCCUUAGCUACACAGCCAGGCUUUCCUAAAUAUCCACAGUUAUGUGGCCCUUUUGUUGUGGCUUCAGUUUCCUGUGUAUCCUCAACACAAGAGAACAGAGGACCAGGAGGAGAGGGGAAAAUGAAAAGUUGUUUGCUUUCCUGUCAUGCCCCAGUGAACCCACGACUCCCCCACCCCUCACAGACCUGGGAAAGACCCAGAAUGCCACUGUGGUCAGAACAUGCUGUAUUUGAUUCAUUUUCAUUUUUAAGAUAAAAAGUUUUAUUUCAGAGAGAAACACAAAGCCCUGGGUGUUAUGGAUCAGCCAGGAUUUGACAGGGUUCUGGGACUUUCAAACUGUACAAAAUAAAUUGUAUCAUCCCUUGAUAACCCAAAGGACACAGUGGCCACAUCCUAACCCAGGGUCCCCCACCCUGGACCCCAGCUCUGCUCCUCAUGGGCUGCAGGAAGACUUGUAGCACUCUUGUCUCAUUUAGGCCACUUAAUUAUCAGAUGUGACUGUGUCUCCCCAUGCCCGUGUGAGGGUUAAUACUGACUGUCAGCUUUCCAGGUCCUACAGUCACCUAGGAGACAAACAUCUGGGCAUCCGUGUAAUGAAGUUUCUAGAUCGGGUUAACUGAACUGGGACAAUCCAUCCUAAUUAUGGUGGUACCACUCUGCAAGCUGCCGCCCCGGACUGAAUGAAAAGGAGAAAGUGAGCCAAGCGUCCAUCUCUCUCUGCUUCCUGAAUUUGAAUGCAAAGUAACCAACCUGCUUCACACCUCUGCCUUCUCUGCAGUGAUGGGCUACACCCUCCAUCCUUGAGCCAAAAAUAAAC
rnacentral:lncRNA from 1 species